rnacentral:misc_RNA from 1 species
UGCUUUAAGUUUUCCAGGUAUUUAAUUUAACUAUCUGCACUCCUAUCAGACAAAAAAUCUCACCAGUUUAAAAAGUGGAAAUAAUGUGCUUAAUAAGCCCACGCCCCAAGUUUGAAUUUGCCAAGAGGAUUUUGUUCUAUAUUUCCUUGGUGUUAAGAAGGUCAUCAGGGGGCCAUUGGGCCUGGGUUGUUAUAUUUAGUUUCUUAGGUAAUGCAUUUAUUAACUAUAGGAGUGUGGUUUUCUGUUUAUGGGGAAAAAAUUGUGGGUCAUGUUUUUGUUUUGGCCAUAUUUUUAUGGUAUUUAUUAUGUAUGUCAUCAGUUUUCCGGUGGACAUUUUCUCCUUUAAUAAACUUUAUAGUUACCAAGUUGAGUUGAAAAUAAUUCUUUUCAGGCAAAUUUGUGGUGCCGUCAGAACAUGGCAUUACCAUUUUGAAAAAUUUUUCUGAACUUAUGAUUGAAUCCUCAAACAUUUUUGUUUUUUAAGUGAAGCAUUGCUUCAAUCCUACUUAAGAAAUUUUCUGUAAAUUUCAAACUUCUUGAUGUUACUGUAACUACCAAACUUUCUAUACCUGUCAUCCUUAUUACCUUUUCCAAAUAUAGAGGUGCUGUUGUUUCCAUAUAUAUACAUGAGUUUCUAGUUCUUUAAGUAACUUAUUGUUUCGCUUCAAAGUUUUAAACAAUGUCUUGAUGUAUGCAAAUAUAGAGAAUGCAAAGUCUGUGUGCAAUAUUAAAGUGCGACUUUUGUUCAUCUAUAUAACUGUUUGAGCAAUACGGUAAUGCAGGAGCACCUCAGGCUCUCCUACAGAGCUGCCUGACUUUUGGGGCAUUCUCGUUUAUUAUUGAAGGGCUUAACAAGCAGCAACCAGCACUGGCUCAUUCAUUUUCUAUGAGACACAAAUGCAGCUACCGUGGUGCAUCUCAUCCCUUGGCUCUUUUGAGUGACUACCAUAAUGCGCAUCACCCCUUGGCUCUUCCUCUUUCUGUCCCUCUUCCAAAUGAACUUAAAGUGGCCUUCUCUUUUUUCUGCAAGUCCUUGAAGAAACCCAGUAUCAAUUCUCCUACUGCUUCCUGAUAAAAGAUUGGAAGCAUGAUUAAUCAUGUUUGGUUUAACAUUUUGUAGAUUGUUGGUGUGGUGACAUUUUACCAUUUUGUAGAUUUGUAAUUCAGAUUUCAAAACUUACCGGAGCUUG